rnacentral:rRNA from 1 species
UGCUUGAUAAAGGUGGCCUCUGAUUAAGCUAUCGCUUAGAGAUGAGCCUGCGUCCUAUUAGCUAGUUGGUAAGGUAAGAGCUUACCAAGGCGAUGAUAGGUAGGCGGCCUUAACGGGUGGUCGCCCACACUGGGAUUGAGAUACGGCCCAGACUCCUACGGGAGGCAGCAGUCGAGAAUAGUCUACAAUGGGGGAAACCCUGAUAGUGCGACGCCGCGUGAACGAUGAAACCUUUCGGGGCGUAAAGUUCUUUUCUGUGUGAGCAAGCUAUGUAAGAUUAAUAGUUUUAUGUGGAAGAUAUUAGCACAGGAAUAAGCCACGGCUAACUCCGUGCCAGCAGCCGCGGUAACACGGGGGUGGCGAGCGUUGUCCGGAAUCACUAGGCGUAAAGGGCAAGUAGGCGGAAUUAUCAGUCAGGUGUUAAAGGCAUGGGCUUAACCGAUGUAUAGCAUUUGAUACUGUAAUUCUAGAGUGAAGUAGAGGAAGAUGGAAUUCCAGGUGUAGCGGU